GCAGGCUCGGUGGAAAAUACCAGAAACACACAUUAGUGUGCUGCGGCUGAUAAGAGAAAAUGGGAACAACAAUUUGUAAUGAGCGCCGAUAAAAAACACCUUCUGUAAUUUCAGCUUUUCUUGUCAGCUUGUCAGCAAUGGAAAAAGGCCCAGUCAACCCCAAAAUGAAGCUUGUGCCUGUGUUUCCUGGACAUUAGCAGGCCUCCACCCCAUGCACCCUGCACAGGAGACAAUGCAUUUCCAACAGGAAGAUGUCUGCAAUUUCAUUGAUGGGAUCAAAGGCUCCGUAAACGGUUGUACCAGCGGUGGCAUUCACAAACAUCGGAACAUAGCCCUGCAAAACGAAAACGUUGGGUGGAAAUAAAGGCAUUUGCUACAGUUCAGGACUGAAUUCAGGGUGUUAUGUUCAUUCUCUCGCUGCGAUUGUUGACACAAAAAGAUACAUCUUUCUCAAAUAAUGCACCCUUCUUCCCUCAUGCAAUGACUGCUUUCCAAUUUCUUCCAGUCUGCACAUCACUUUUGCCUUUGAGGGACUGUUUCCAGGAGAAGUGCUUUUGAUUGGAGCAGCGUCACUUGUGAUCAGAAAGAAGCAUGAACCUCCCCGAAAUAACCUCACUGCUCUGGCACACACAAGUACACACUAUGGCUCAGACUGUGUGGUGUCAAUAAUAAAAGCAAAUAACAGGGAUGACUCUCCCUCUGGAAAAGAAGAGGAAGAAGACAGUAGAAAGUCAUCCAGAUAUCUGAUCUUUUGCCAGACAGUCUGCAUGCGGGUCCAGCACAAAGCAAACCUCUCAUCAGUGUUCAAAAGUAUCAGGUUGUCCGUCCCAAAGCCCAGAGCUGCACUGGCUUUCUUGAUGGAGUAGUGGCUCUGCAAGAACAGAUGUUACAGUAAGAGUGGAUUUACUCUCAAGAUACUGACAUUAAUUGUGAAACCUUGGUGACAAAGAUGCUUAAAUGGUCUGACUAUAUGAAA